rnacentral:lncRNA from 1 species
ACAAACCAAAGUCUACACACCAUAGGAAAAUAGUUAGACAAAAUUGAAACCAAAAUAGAUAGACUUUCUUAACAAAAACCAAAAAUUAGGGAAAAACCAUGGUCAACUUCCCAGAGUCGUCCUCUAACUCAACGACUUUAAAAACAAUUUCCACAAGCCAAAAAAUAGAUCAAAUACUACAAGAAUUGAAACAAGAAAAAAUAGUCAAUGUCUUGCGUCAUCCAAAAGAAUCUCAAGUAGAAACAACUUCUGCAUCAUGGGAUUUAGAAAGAGAAAGUGAAACAAGUUUAAUUAAGAAAGUAGAAGAA